AUCACCUGCGGAUCUUGUUAAAAUGCAGAUCCUGAUUCAGCAGGUCUGGGUGAGGCCUGAGAUUCUGCUUUUCCAACAAACUCCCAAGUGAUGCUGA
rnacentral:pre_miRNA from 1 species